AGUUUAAAAUUUUAAUAUUUAUAAAUUUAAAAAAUUUUACACGUGCUGAAUGGUAGCAGUGCUAACAUUUUGUGACCAUUAAACCACAAACUCACUGCAUGGAGCUUCUUUCUUUGUACAGAGAACCAAAUCACAAUACCAGUAUUUGCAAUUUGUCAUAAUUUUAUGUGGUAACAAAGACACCACACCAGGAAGCCUGGGCUCAGAACACACUUGAGGUCAGAUCCCCAUCAGGUACAUAGUGCGGAUGCAGUAUUUUUAAUUUCAGGCUAGGAAAAUAGCUAUUAGUACACAUUUGAUAGCUCCUAAUAGCUAAGAGGCCUAAGAAUAUAGACUGAAAAGAAAAAAAAAAAAAUCUCUCCACUGGUGGGAAGGCCUGGAAUAAGUAAGUGAAAGCAAACCCCAGUGGGUGAGGUGAAAGAAGAUGUUUUUUGGUGUGAGUCUCAGGGAGUCUAAUGUACCAGCUGUACCUCCCAAUCACCACUGAAGCUGUCAUACAAUAUUCCAGUCUUUCCAAAGUAGAGCUAUAGGCCAGAAACAUGAUUUCAUCCAUCCUCUUUAAAAAAAAAAAAAAAAGAAUGGAUACUCAGUAUUAGGUUUAUAUCUUUACCUGAACCAAAUAUAUUCUUUGGCUAAGUAUGUCAUGGGUUUCCAUUAUCAACAGUCAAGAAUAUUUCACACUUCUCACAACUAAAUUUAAAUAUUUAAAGUUCAGCUUUAGCCAGGGCACUUCAAAUUAAUUUGAGCUCAGCAAUAUACCUAAUUUGGACAUUUUUUUUUAUUUUAGGAAAUUACUUUUUAAAGAAUUCUUAAAUGCAGUGUUUUACCAAAUGAGAGCAUACCCACUCACAUUUUUAAAUAAUUUAAAACCUUAUUACAUCCUCAAAUCAGCUAUGCUGUUUUGUAGAAGAAUUUAUAGAAAAUUAUGUUAAAAACUCAUAUCCAAACAGUUCCCUAUUCUGUUUAGAAAACAAAACAAAACACUAAGAAGUUCUGAGGUUCCCUUCUGUCUUAACAGCUAAUAUUUUAUUCAGGAACCAAUAAUGGUAAUUAUCUGUCAGAGACAGCUAACUUAAGUAAGGUCUAAUGACAACCACCUCUAAUGACAGAAGUGGCCAACAGAAACAAGUAGAACUGUAACAGACAGAAGAGUUUAAAGAUUUAACUGACACUGAAUACUAGGACUCUCAAACCUGAAAUCCUUGAAAAUGAAAGCUAGUUCCCUUCAAUACUUGAGGGAUUCAUACAAGUAUUAACAGAAAUGAGAAAUAUGGUGAUACUAAAAAGACAAAUACUUGAUAUCCUGAUAAAAGAAGUUCAAUCAAAGACAGUAAGGGAGUGUUAAAUAUUGCUGGCUGGGGGGAAGUUAUAGAGAUGCUUGGUUGUGAAAUGAAAACUGAAAAAAAAAAAAAAAAGAAGGUAGUAACCAUCAUAUCUGAACAGAGUAAUGUAUAUAAUUAGAUACAUGGUUUACAAUGAAAUAAGACUAAAUACGUAAAAUUUUAAAAAUAUUGCAGUUUUGUUUUGUUUUUUACAUGUUAACAAAAAAACUCAAUGCAGUGAUGUUAACAUGCUCCCUGUUCCCCCAUCUUCCAACAGAUUCAGAGAUGGCAAGGCAGAAAUACCCGGAUAACUGUGUUGAGGACACUGUCAAAUACUGCCAAAUAGUUUAGUUACUCAGGCAACCCCCCACCCAGAAAGACUAUAAAAACUAAUCCUUUUCACAGAGGUACAAGAAUGCAGUUACAUGUACCGUUACAUGGAUACAAGUUGUGAAAGGACCAAGUCCUUACUGACUUGGACCAAGUCCUUACUGAUUGUGCCUUGGGACUCUGUAGAGACUGUGCUUUUUGGAAACAAAUGUGCAAGGAAAAUAAAACAAGAAAUAAGUCUAAUAAUAAAGAAUGAACUGAAAACUAGAAGUUAAAAGAUACUAUAUCUGAACAGAAAUUUCGUAAAACACAAAAUUCUCAAAAUCAUAUCCUCAAAAGUGUCCCUUUAAUGUAUAAGAAGGGGGGCACAAAUGUUUUUGUUUUUAAAACUCUUUUAACAAAAAAAAAAAAAAAAAAA
rnacentral:lncRNA from 1 species